rnacentral:lncRNA from 1 species
GGUUGGGGGCUAAGUGGGGCUGAAAGGGAAGGGGUCACUUACGGAUCCGCCCAAUGUAAUGGUCAAAUAUGGACCACCCAAAACUGCUCUUUAUUGCAUUGAUCUUCGGGCAGGUAGUUAUGGCCUUACUGUACAAGGUCCGUAAAGACCAUUAUUCCGAUGUACUCAUGUGAUAACAAAUUUUAGUAUUAACAGAACUGAUCCACCUGAACAUUAGACGCCCUAGCUUACUCCACCUGUUAAUUAUACACCUUAACCUAACCUAACAAUGUUAACUUAAAUCUAACCUUUAACCUUUAUGUUAACGUAACCAAACCCAGUCCCCAUUGGUGUUAAAUCAUCAGGUGAGUUAAAGCAAUGGGUGGCUAAUCUUCAGGUGAUCCAUAUGUAUAGGCUAUGACAGGUGAUGGUAGUUAUCCUUUAAUACUUGACUAAAGCCCUCUCCAUCCCUCCAUUAAUGCAAUGUCUUACAGUCAGACACCUUCUAUGUCUGUUUAUGUCUUAUGUUGAUGACUCAGCCCCUGGUGAGUGACGGGGCCGGACAGACAGACCUUCACUCCGGGGUGUUCUGUAGAAUCCAAGCUUAUGAGGUGUGCCAUGGAGGUCUGAGUGUAGAGACCUUGAGUUAUACCUUGACCUCAGGUGUUGUAGCUGGAGUUAUACCUUGAUCUCAGGUGUUGUAGCUGGAGUUAUACCUUGACCUCAGGUGUUGUAGCUAGUCAUACCUUGACCUCUGGUGUUGUAGCUGGAGUUAUACCUUGACCUCAGGUGUUGUAGCUGGAGUUAUAUCUUGACCUCAGGUGUUGUAGCUGGAGUUAUACCUUGACCUCAGGUGUUGUAGCUGGAGUUAUACCUUGACCUCAGGUGUUGUAGCUAUAGUUAUACCUUGACCUCUGGUGUUGUAGCUGGAGUUAUACCUUGACCUCAGGUGUUGUAGCUGGAGUUAUACCUUGACCUCAGGUGUUGUAGCUGGAGUUAUACCUUGACCUCAGGUGUUGUAGCUGGAGUUAUACCUUGACCUUAGGUGUUGUAGCUGGAGUUAUACCUUGACCUCAGGUGUUGUAGCUAGAGUUAUACCUUGACCUCAGGUGUUGUAGCUGGAGUUAUACCUUGACCUCAGGUGUUGUAGCUAGAGUUAUACCUUGACCUCAGGUGUUGUAGCUGGAGUUAUACCUUGACCUCAGGUGUUGUAGCUAGAGUUAUACCUUGACUUCAGGUGUUGUAGCUGGAGUUAUAGCUUGACCUCAGGUAUAGAGGAGAAGUGCUUACUGCUUGACGUGGGUCAGUUGAGCUAGAACACAGACAGCUAAUAUUAUAUGCAAAACACAUUAUUAACAUAUCAUUAACAGGUAACUAACGAGCAGUAGUUCAGGACGAGGUAGUUAUCGUUGGUCAGGUUCACGAUACUGAUAAGGUUCAGGGUUCAGGUGUUUUGCUAUCUUGUUAAUUUGAACCUCUGUCUGGUAGAAGGGAUUCUGUCAGGGGUUCAGAGACAAAACUAAUGUCUUUCUCACACACACAUGCACACACACACACACAUACACACACACACACACAUACAUACACACACACAUACAUACACACAGGUUUCAUUAAAAAACUCCAUCAUACUAAAUUUGAACUUCCUAAUAGAACCCCUCAGAACCUUACCACACAGUUCAGUGUUAGUCGGUAUGAGGUUCAGUUAUAACCGAAUUAACAAGGUUCGAAUAGGUUCAGAUUUUGCUUCGAACUGUUUCAGUAUCGUAAAGGUUCAAUUAUUUUAUAGUUUCGUUUGGUUUUGAAGGUUCAAUUAUUUUUACGUCAUUAAAAAUAGUACAGAUUAAUGUCAAGUAUUUAUGAAUUUUAUUAUAUUAUGUUUUAAAUAUUUUUGUUUGUAAGUAAUCUUUUGUAUGUGUGAAAUAAAUGUUAUCUGGGGACACGUCAUAUGAAGAGCUAUAUUUAUGAGAUAACGAUAUAUGUUUAAGAGACAACUAUACUCUUUAUAGAUGUUCCACAAUUAAUAUUUAUUGACAAUUUUAUCUCAUCAUAUACAUAACAAAUAUCUAAAUUAUUUCUUAUCAUAUUGUUUAAUUUUAAUAUUUAAACAUCUGAUUCUGUGUAAACAUUACCACUUGUUAAUUUGGGGAUUUGAAUACUGUGUUAUAUACGAUUUUAACAUUAAUACUUGUUUGUGUAUUAUUGAAACAUUACCAACUUAAACAUCAUAAACGUUUAUAAAAAGUUUGGAAUAUCAGAAAAAAAAAAUAAUAAACAUUUCAGUUAAUUUCAUAAGAACAAAUAAAGUAAACAAACAAACAAAUGUCAGUAGGGAUUUAUUGGUAAGUUUUAUGAGAAUUUUAUUUAAGUAACAUAAGUGAGAAUUUAAGUAGCUUAUUGUACCUUUUAUUUCUCUUGUAUUCGUGUCUGACUUAAGAAACAUUAAUACUUACACGAGCCAAUGGCCACAGCUACAGGAGCUACUUAGAUCCUGUAUACAUCAAGAUCAAUAAAAGCAUUACUUAAAUCA